rnacentral:lncRNA from 1 species
CAAUUUUUCUCAAUGAGUUCAAUAGAAGAGUAUGUUUACAUAUAAAAAGUAAUUUCUUAGCAACUAUUAGAAAACAUAUGAAUAGUCAUACUAAGUGAUAUUAUUUAAUAUAUAUUUGCUAUACAAAUGUAAUAUGUAUUUUACAACUUUUCACUACCCUGAGUGAUUAGUGGAUUGUAACAGGGAACAUCAGGAGGAGCUUGGACUCUUGAAGGAUAUUGUAACAAGCC